rnacentral:ncRNA from 1 species
CUAUAAAAAUAAAUAUUUCGUAUAACCCUAAUAAUAUGGUUUAGGGGUCUCUACCAAGAACCGAUAAUUCUUGAUUACGAAGAAAUAUUGUAUA